AUUGAACGCUGGCGGCAUGCCUUACACAUGCAAGUCGAACGGUAACGGGCCUUCGGGUGCCGACGAGUGGCGAACGGGUGAGUAAUACAUCGGAACGUGCCCGAUCGUGGGGGAUAACGAGGCGAAAGCUUUGCUAAUACCGCAUACGAUCUACGGAUGAAAGCAGGGGACCGCAAGGCCUUGCGCGGACGGAGCGGCCGAUGGCAGAUUAGGUAGUUGGUGGGAUAAAAGCUUACCAAGCCGACGAUCUGUAGCUGGUCUGAGAGGAUGAUCAGCCACACUGGGACUGAGACACGGCCCAGACUCCUACGGGAGGCAGCAGUGGGGAAUUUUGGACAAUGGGCGCAAGCCUGAUCCAGCCAUGCCGCGUGCAGGAUGAAGGCCUUCGGUUUGUAAACUGCUUUUGUACGGAACGAAAAGCCUUCUUUUAAUACAGGAGGGUCAUGACGGUACCGUAAGAAUAAGCACCGGCUAACUACGUG
rnacentral:rRNA from 1 species